rnacentral:rRNA from 1 species
CAGUCGCCGCGGUAAUACGAAGGGUGCAAGCGUUACCCGGAUUUACUGGGCGUAAAGGGCGUGUAGGCGGCCUGGGGCGUCCCAUGUGAAAGGCCACGGCUCAACCGUGGAGGAGCGUGGGAUACGCUCAGGCUAGAGGGUGGGAGAGGGUGGUGGAAUUCCUGGAGUAGCGGUGAAAUGCGCAGAUACCGGGAGGAACGCCGAUGGCGAAGGCAGCCACCUGGUCCACUUCUGACGCUGAGGCGCGAAAGCGUGGGGAGCAAACCGGAUUAGAUACCCCUGUAGUCCCUGUCUCUUAUCC